rnacentral:rRNA from 1 species
AUUGAACGCUGGCGGCAGGCCUAACACAUGCAAGUCGAACGAGUGGCGGACGGGUGAGUAAUGUCUGGGAAACUGCCUGAUGGAGGGGGAUAACUACUGGAAACGGUAGCUAAUACCGCAUAACAUCAGAUGUGACCAGAUGGGAUUAGCUAGUUGGUGGGGUAACGGCUCACCAAGGCGCCGAUCCCUCGCUGGUCUGCGAGGAUGACCAGCCACACUGGAACUGAGACACGGUCCAGACUCCUCCGGGAGGCAGCAGUGGGGAAUAUUGCACAAUGGGCGCAAGCCUGAUGCAGCCACGCCGCGUGUGUGAAGAAGGCCUUCGGGUUUUAAAGUCCUGUCAGCGGGGAGGCGGUACCCGAAGAGGAAGCACCGGCUAACUCCGUGCCAGCAGCCGCGGUAAUUC